GCGAAUAAUCUCGGAGAUGAGAGACAAGAUGCAAAGCCCAAUGAGCAUUCAAGAGUGUGCUCUUGUCAUUUUAGGAAUGGCAAGAAAGAAGCUGGUCCAACCCUAUUUGCUUGGAAUGACUUCAAGAGAAGGUUAUCGGCCGUCGUCCAAACGGUGCGCGCGGGCCCUCAUCUUGUCCGACGGCGCGCCCACUUCGCGACUGGCUCCGACCUCGCUUGGCGUUGGUACAAGAGCUGCCGGGAGUCGCCCUGCGUCCUCGGCGGGGAGCCGAGAUUCCGGGCGGGCCGACUCCAACGUUUCCACACGAUAUCGCUUUGAUAGCCAGGUUUCUUUCAAUGGUUAUUUCUGUAAUCGGUCACGAGGCGAAUCCUCGUUGAGCCUAAUUUGUUCUCCAGUCUGCCAAGUCUGGUUUGCUUUGUUGAUGCUGUACUA
rnacentral:lncRNA from 1 species